rnacentral:rRNA from 1 species
GAUGAACGCUGGCGGCGUGCCUAAUACAUGCAAGUCGAGCGAACAGACGAGGAGCUUGCUCCUCUGACGUUAGCGGCGGACGGGUGAGUAACACGUGGAUAACCUACCUAUAAGACUGGGAUAACUUCGGGAAACCGGAGCUAAUACCGGAUAAUAUAUUGAACCGCAUGGUUCAAUAGUGAAAGACAGUUUUGCUGUCACUUAUAGAUGGAUCCGCGCCGCAUUAGCUAGUUGGUAAGGUAACGGCUUACCAAGGCAACGAUGCGUAGCCGACCUGAGAGGGUGAUCGGCCACACUGGAACUGAGACACGGUCCAGACUCCUACGGGAGGCAGCAGUAGGGAAUCUUCCGCAAUGGGCGAAAGCCUGACGGAGCAACGCCGCGUGAGUGAUGAAGGUCUUCGGAUCGUAAAACUCUGUUAUUAGGGAAGAACAAAUGUGUAAGUAACUAUGCACGUCUUGACGGUACCUAAUCAGAAAGCCACGGCUAACUACGUG